AGGACGAACGCUGGCGGCGUGCUUAACACAUGCAAGUCGAGCGGAAAGGCCCUUCGGGGUACUCGAGCGGCGAACGGGUGAGUAACACGUGAGCAACCUGCCCUUAGCUUCGGGAUAGCUCCGGGAAACCGGAAUUAAUACCGGAUAUGACUAUGGCCGACAUCAGCCAUGGUGGAAAGUUUUUCGGCUAGGGAUGGACUCGCGGCCUAUCAGCUAGUUGGUGAGGUAACGGCUCACCAAGGCGACGACGGGUAGCCGGCCUGAGAGGGCGACCGGCCACACUGGGACUGAGACACGGCCCAGACUCCUACGGGAGGCAGCAGUGGGGAAUAUUGCGCAAUGGGCGAAAGCCUGACGCAGCGACGCCGCGUGGGGGAUGAAUGCCUUCGGGUUGUAAACCCUUUCAGCAGGGACGAAGCGAAAGUGACGGUACCUGCAGAGAAGCGCCGGCUAACUACGCGCCAGCAGCCGC
rnacentral:rRNA from 1 species